GGUGCUCUGCCCGUGGCAGGGGGCUUGGAACUAUAUGACCUUUAAAGUUCUUUCCUACCCAAGGGUGGCCUUGAACACCUCCAGGUAGUCUGGCUUCCCAGAAGUCUUCUGCUAAAUGCAAGGGUUUCCUGUCCUGUUUACUGACUGUUACACCUGAGGCUGAUUUUGACACAGAUUGUGGAUAUCGCAGGGCCGGCUCUCGCGCUCGCCCCGGGGCGCCGCCGCCCCGCGCC